rnacentral:lncRNA from 1 species
GUUUCCAUGGUAACCAGUGAGCAAUUGACAAUGUGGCUGCAGUUGGGCCUCCUUGAAGGGGAAAAAUCUUCAACAGGAACCAGGCCACUGAGAGAUGGAAGAAAGGACAGCUCAUACCCAAACCUCACGAGGAGGCUACAGGAAUCACUGGACAGUUCCUUUAUUGGGAAAGCCCCCAGUGACUUUCCAAUGAAAUGGAUAGAGAAGGGAAAAGAGACCCUUCGGAAUCAGAUGAGUCCAUGAACUGGCAGCAGUCAGGGCAGUGAUGACAUCACAGAAGGAGGAUGGGCCUUAGACAGACAUCACUCUUUAGAAUCCCUGCAACUUUGAGCAAGUUCGUGAAUCUCACUAAGGCUCAGUUUCCUCCAUAAAAUUAAUCAAUAUCAGGGCCUCUGCAUUGGACAACUCCAGAGGGCACCAUUGGGGUUAUACCUUGUGUUUGCCUAACCUUCAUUGCAGUGGGCAGGUGCAUGCUUUCUACAAUGUCCUAAGGUCUAAAGGGGUAGAGUUCUGUGUGUGGCAUUUUAGGCCUGGAAAGGAUGAGAGUCUACAAAACCAGAGAAAUACUGCAGCCAUUGGUAAGAAGCACACAUGACAACCUGGACUUUCCAUCAACAUUUGAAGCGGGAGCAGUCUUGUGGGAUCAAGCUCUUAACCUGUGGGGUCUGCUACUAACUCUGAAUCCAAUGAACACAUGGACCCAACACUCCUUUGGCCAAGUUGAUGAUUCUCCACCAUUUAUUUGCCUGCCUCACUAUACACUUCUAGCAAGCCACUGCAAGGCUGCAUUGCAGCUAAGAGGAAGCCCUCCUUGAAGGCUGCACAGCAAGGAGUGUUGGCAGAGUAGCUGGGUUUCCACUGGGAGAGCACGAGUCAGCAUCAUGCUGGGCUCAAGCAUGGAUAUGCACUGCUGCUGCCAGAGCAUCAUAAUUUGCAAGCAUUUAUCGAGUACCCUUCAUCUAAUUUUCAUCCUGCGGAAACUAGAAAUUGCUACACUUGCACACAAUAAACUUCUGGCAGUUAGCCUUCUAAACUGGGACACUACCAUUUGGGAGGGAAAAGACCUUUCUGGUGGUUAAAGAUGGGGCUUCCAGUUACUGCAUUUGUUUUAAUACAGUCUAUUCCAUAGAGCCAUCGAUGGAGACUCAUUAUAUAACCUUUCGUGGAAAGCUUCUGACUUCUUUCUCAAUGCACAGUGCUUCACGUGACUUUUGAGUUAUAGCUGACUGCCCUAGCUCACAUUUUAGUGCCAGAAGAUCCCAGACCACCACCCAUGAUCCCAGGCUGGAGGAAGCAGCAGGCUAGCGGAAUUCAGGACCAAUGAGCCAGGAAAGAGGACCCAAUGCAGAGCUCACAUCCCACCCUCCUUCCCCCAUGACAAAGCACUGGCAAACCCUGCCAAAGAAGAAGCUUGGCUGCAAAGCAGUCUGGAACUGGACCCGGGAUAGAUUCACCAGGAGCUCACCACCACAGGGAAUGCUGCACUUUGACUGGACAGAAUGCAUCCUCCAUGCCCACAGAGCAUGUGCCCAGGAUGAAUCUCACUGUAUCCCAGUUCCUCAUGCUUGGCCCCAAACCUCUUUUUCACAGUAAUAAAGAAAACACACUUUACAAAAAG